rnacentral:lncRNA from 1 species
CCGAACGGACAGAGUUUCUCCUAUCCGCCCAAGGCUCAUCACAUGUACAUUUUCAUCAAUAGAGAAAAGCACUAGCGGAAACAUACACAAACGGCUUACACGAGGGUAAGCAAUAGCCAUUAGUGAAAGAAAAAGGAAACUAAACAUUCACAAGUAAAAUGAUUCAUUUUAGAUCAUAUACAUUGCAUCCAUCUAGUAAUUUAUCGAAUUCUUACAUUCAUUACAUCAUUUCUUUCUUACAUUACAUUUACCUCAAAAUAA